AGCGACGCCACUCGAGUGAAGCGCUACUCAGCAGUCGAAAGUCCGCUGCUCUCUACUGUGCGUGCAUCAGUGCGGACGUGUACGCAAGCACGUCUUUUGGCUUCAACCAAUCAGUGCUGACGCACCGGACGUUACACAUCAAAAAGCUUUGAUCUACGACAACAGCUAAGCUAGCCUAGCCAAGACAACAGCUAAAUUAGUUGGGACGACACGACGCUCGAGGUCGGACGGACACGCUCUUUCGUAAUCUGGUUUCAGGUGACCUGGAACCUAUCCCUGCUGACUUUGGGAAGCGGGGUCCAUAAACUUGGAAGAAGUCAGAGUACCCGAAGAAAACCCAUGGGGAGCACAUGGAAACCCCCACAAAGGACUGAGGCAGCAGCUCAAUACGAUGGUGGCAGUGAAGUCAAUUCUACUCACUUCACAAGAAGCAGCUGUUUGGCAGAGAGGAAAGAGUUCUUUCAAAAGAGGCUUCAAGCUGUUUAUUGUCACUCCCAGUUGAAGUUU